rnacentral:rRNA from 1 species
UACAGAGGUCCCAAGCGUUGUUCGGAUUCACUGGGCGUAAAGAGCGUGUAGGCGGCUUGGUAGGUCCGCUGUGAAAACUCGGGGCUUAACCCCGAGCCUGCAGUGGAUACGGGCAGACUAGAGGUAGGUAGGGGAGAAUGGAAUUCCCGGUGUAGCGGUGAAAUGCGCAGAUAUCGGGAGGAACACCGGUGGCGAAGGCGGUUCUCUGGGCCCUACCUGACGCUGAGGAGCGAAAGCGUGGGGAGCGAACAGG